AGAUCACAUGAGGCUGGAGAAAGACAAAGGAAAAUCCUUGUCCCACGGGGAAGAGGAAGACAACCAUCCUGGAACCAAUGGAGUCUCCUACUGCUGAGAGGGUUCAGGGUCAUGAGGAAGCCCCACCCCUCAAAUGUGUCGCUGCCAGCCGACCGCUUCUGGUGAGAAACUUGAGUUGUGAAAAGUCCUAUAAGGUUUCCAAAGUCUCACAGUGCCAGGUGUAAUCAGGAUUCUGCAGACAACUGCAGCUUCGGGAAGGUGACAUGAAGAUGACCCAGUGAGCUCUUCCUGUAGAGUCUACACCUCCCAGACCACAUCCAGCUCAGCUUCCCACAGACUUCCCAAGCAGAGAGAAGGAACUGUUGCAAAGUCACGGACAAUUCUUUGCCACCCCACUGACUGCAGUCCACCAGGCUCCUCUGUCCAUGGGAUAACCAGGUAAAUACCCAGGACUGUAAUUCCUGGAUCACAUGACGGUGUCAUUUUAAAUUAUCUGAGGAACCUCCAGACUGGUUUCAAUGGUGGCGGCACCAAUUUACACUGUCAUCAACAGUGCAGAAUGGUUCCCUUUCCUCCACAUCUCUGCCAACACUUGUUAUUUGUAGUCGUUUUGGAAACAGCCAUUCUGACAGGUGUGAGGUGGUAUCUCAUUAUGGUUUUGAUUUGCACUUCCUUGAUGAUUAGUGAUGUUGAGCAUCUUUCUAAAAAAUAUAUCUAUUUAUUUUUAAUUGAUUGAUGAUCGGUUUACAACAUUGGUUUGAUUUCAAUCAUACAUCAACAUGAAUUAGCCAAAGGUGUACAAAUAUCCCCUGAUGUUGAGCAUCUUUUCAUAUGUCAUCUUUGGAAAAAUGUGUAUCAGAUCCUCUCCAAUUUUUAUAACAACUUGCUUGCUUUUUUGAUGUUGACUUGAAUGAGGUAUUUAUAUAUUUUAGAUAUUAACAACUUAUCAUGUAUAUUAUUUGGAAAUACCUUCUCCCAUUCAGUAAAAUUAUUCAUCCUAGUUCUGUGAAAAAGGCCAUUGGUAUUUUGAUAAGGAUUGCCCUGAAUCUGUAGAUUGCCUUUAACAAUAUUAACUCUUUCAAUCCACAGACAAAGUAUAUCUUUCCAACUCUGUGUGUUGUCUUCAGUUUGGUUCAUCAGUAUCUUACAGUUUCCCAAGCACAGGUCUUUUGCCUCCUUAGGUAGGUUUAUUCUGAGGUAUUCUGUUCUCCAUGAUGUGGCUGUAAAUGGGAUUAUUUUCUUAAUUUUUCUGAUAGUUCAUUGUUAGUGUAUUCAGAUGCAAAGAUUUCUGUUUAUUGAUUUUUGUAUCCUACAACAUACUCAAAUUCAUUGAUGAAUUCUAAUAGUUUUCUGGUGGCAUCUUUAGGAUUUUCUAUGUAGUAUUAUAUAUCAUCUGCAAAUAGUGAGUUAGGACCUAACAGAGGCAGAAGAUAUUAAGAAGAGGUGGCAAGAAUACACAGAAGAACUCUACAAAAAUUGUCUUAAUGACCAGGAUAACCAUGAUAGUGUGGCCACUCACCUAGAGUCAGAUAUCCUGGAAUGUGAAGUUAAGUGGCCAUAGGAAGCACUGCUACAAAUAAAGCUAGUGGAGGUGAUGGAAUUCCAGCUGAGCUCUUUAAAAUUCUUAAAGAUGAUGUUAAAUUGCUGCACUCACUAUGUCAGCAAAUUUGGGAAACUCAGCAGUGGACGCAGGACUGGAAAAGGUCAGUUUUCAUUCCAAUCCCAGAGAAGGGCAGUGCCAAAUAAUGUUCAAACUAUUGGACAAUUACACUCAUUUAGCAGGCAAGUAACGUUAUGCUCAUGGGGUUGCAGAGUCAGACACGACUGAGCGACUGAACUGAACUGAACUGAAGGUAAUGCUCAAAAUCCUUCAAGCCAGGUUUCAGUAGUACAUGAACAGAGAACUUCCAGAUGUACAAGCUGGGUUUAGAAAAGUCAGGGGGAUCAGAGAUCAACUUGCCAACAUUCACUGGAUCAUAGAAAAAACAAGGGAAUUCCAGAAAAACAUCUAUUUCUCCUUCAUUGACUACAUUAAAGCCUUUGACUGUGUGGAUCACAAUCAACUGUGGAAUAUUCUUAAAGAGAUGGAAAUACCAAACCACCUUUCCUGACUCCUGAGAAACCUGUAUGCAGGUCAAGAAGCAACAGUUACAACUGGACACAGAAAAAGGGGUUGGUUUAAAAUUGGGAAAGGACUACGAUAAGGCUAUAUAUUGUUACUCUAGUUUAUUUAACUUAUAUGUGGAGUAUAGCAUGCAAAAUGCUGGGCAGGAUGAAGCACAGGCUGGAUCAAGAUUACCAGGAGAAAUAUCAACAACCUCAGAUAUGCAGAUGAUUCCACUCUAAUGGCAGACAAUGAAGAGGAACUAAAGAGCCUCCUGAUGAGGGUGAAAAGAGGAGUGAAAAAGCUGGCUUAAAACUUAGCAUUCAAAAAACUAAGACCAUGGUACCUGGUCCCAUCACUUCACUGCAAACAGAAAGGGAAAAAGUAGAAUCAGUAACAGAUUUUAUUUCCCUGGGCUCCAAAAUAGUGACUGCAGAUAGUGAAUGCAGCCAUGAAAUUAAAAGACGCUUGCUCCUUGGAAGAAAAGCUAUGACAAACAGAGAGAGUGUAUUAAAAAGCAAAGAUAUCACUUUGCUGACAGAGGUCUGUAUAGUCAAAGCUAUGGUUUUUCCAGUAGUCAGGCACGGAUGUGAGAGUUGGACCAUAAAGAAGGCUGAGUGCCAAAGAACUGAUGCUUAUGCUUUCUAACUGUAUUGCUGGAGAAGACUCUUGAGAGUCCCUUGGACACCAAGGAGAUCAAAUCAGUCAACCCUAAAGGCAAUUGACCCUGAAUAUUCCACUGGAGGACUGAAGCUGCAGCUCCAAUACUUUGGCCAUGUGAUGCAAAGACCUGACUCAUUGGAAAAGACCCUGCUGCUGGGGAAGACUGAAGACCAAAGGAGAAGAGGGAGGCAGAGGAUUAGACGGUUAGAUAGCAUCACCGACUCAAUGGGCACAAGCCUGAACAAACUCCAGAAGAAAGUGAAAGACAGGUAAGCCUGGCAUGCUGCAAUCCAUGGGGUCGCAAAGAGCUGGACACGACUUAGUGACUAAACAACAAUAAUAAUCACUGACACAGUUUCAUUACUGGUAAUUGAUUUGUACAUAUUUUCUGUUUCUUUCUGGUUCAGUCGUGGGAAACAAUACAUUUCUAGGAAUUUGUCCAUUUCUUCUAGGUUGUCUGCUUUGUUGGCAAAUAAUUGAUCAUAGAUAAUGUGAUUUUAAACAUUGAAAACAUUUAUAUUUUUGAAGUGAUCUUGUAAAUAAUCAAUAAAACUAAAGAUAUUUAAUAAACACCUAAUAACGCAUGGCUGCCUACUUUCUAAUCCACAGAUAACUGUCAUAUUUUAAUAAAAUAUUUCAUUUAGGAUUUAUAUUCUAACUGCCAGAGAAAAGUGAGAAUAUUACUAUUCAUGAUCAAGUAUCAAACACUUAUUACUAGAUAAUUAAGGGAAAUAAUCCAGCACAACAGAUACGCUAAAAAUACGUCUUUGUUUACAUGAAUAAGAGACCCACUACGAGGACACCAGUGAAUGUAAAAUUUUCAGUGGAAGAAGCCUCUUACUGUUGAUUUAGUUUUUAUAAGUUAUGCAAGUGAAAAAUGGAGUCUUGUAUUUUUGUUUAAAUGUUUUUCUAUAUAUACUAAUGUCAAUCACAAGGACAGAUACACUCCUCUCUGUACUGUCAAGUAGAACUGUUUCAUUCCCUCGAAAUUCUUAUAAAUUCAAGUUUAAUCAAUCAAAUGGUCAGAAAAUAUUCAAGACCUUCAAAACAGCCUGUUCUGAGCAAAUAACUUAAGAUAUCACUAUGUCAGUGUCUCCAGCUUGUUAUAUACAUGUGAUCUAUUUAUUCGACUGCCUUGGGUCCCAGUGGCGACAUACAGGAUCUUCACUGCAUCAUGGGGGCUUAACUGCUCUUUGCCAUAUGGGAUCUCAGCACCCUGCCCAGGGACUGAAGCCGUGUCCCUUGUAUUGUGAGGUGGAGUCUUAUCCACUGGACCACCACACAAGUCUCUUAUUUGUUUUAUUUUAGCAUUUAACAUAGGGUUACUAUAACAAUUAUUAUAGUGAGUUUACUUUAAGAAAAAUUUUGGAGCCCGUUUCCUGAAUCAGUUGAAUUAGACAAUGAUGAAUUUCAAAUGUUCUCUAGAAUAUUAAUAAUAAAAAUU